GCGGGCGUGGUGUGCGGUGCACAGCUGUGUUCAAUAUUUUGUCUUGCAAGAAGCUGUUCAGACAGCCAAUCCGGGUUCGACUCCCGGCGCUCGCA